rnacentral:rRNA from 1 species
ACGCUGGCGGCGUGCCUAAUACAUGCAAGUAGAACGCUGAAGCUUGGUGCUUGCACCGAGCGGAUGAGUUGCGAAUGGGUGAGCAACGCGUAGGUAACCUGCCUCUUAGCGGGGGAUAACUAUUGGAAACGAUAGCUAAUACCGCAUAAAAGUCGACAUCGCAUGAUGUUGACUUGAAAGGUGCAAUUGCAUCACUAAGAGAUGGACCUGCGUUGUAUUAGCUAGUUGGUGAGGUAACGGCUCACCAAGGCGACGAUACAUAGCCGACCUGAGAGGGUGAUCGGCCACACUGGGACUGAGACACGGCCCAGACUCCUACGGGAGGCAGCAGUAGGGAAUCUUCGGCAAUGGGGGCAACCCUGACCGAGCAACGCCGCGUGAGUGAAGAAGGUUUUCGGAUCGUAAAGCUCUGUUGUAAGAGAAGAACGAGUGUGAGAGUGGAAAGUUCACACUGUGACGGUAACUUACCAGAAAGGGACGGCUAACUACGUGCCAGCAGCCGCGGUAAUACGUAGGUCCCGAGCGUUAUCCGGAUUUAUUGGGCGUAAAGCGAGCGCAGGCGGUUAGAUAAGUCUGAAGUUAAAGGCUGUGGCUUAACCAUAGUACGCUUUGGAAACUGUUUAACUUGAGUGCAGAAGGGGAGAGUGGAAUUCCAUGUGUAGCGGUGAAAUGCGUAGAUAUAUGGAGGAACACCGGUGGCGAAAGCGGCUCUCUGGUCUGUAACUGACGCUGAGGCUCGAAAGCGUGGGGAGCAAACAGGAUUAGAUACCCUGGUAGUCCACGCCGUAAACGAUGAGUGCUAGGUGUUGGGUCCUUUCCGGGACUCAGUGCCGCAGCUAACGCAUUAAGCACUCCGCCUGGGGAGUACGACCGCAAGGUUGAAACUCAAAGGAAUUGACGGGGGCCCGCA